rfam:Camelus ferus unplaced genomic scaffold scaffold1518, whole genome shotgun sequence.
GGAGGGUACAGCUCAGUGGUAGAGCGCAUGUUUAGCCUGCAUGAGGUCCUGGGUUCCAUCCCCAGCACCUCCA